CCUACGGGGGGCAGCAGUAGGGAAUUUUCGGCAAUGGGCGCAAGCCUGACCGAGCAACGCCGCGUGAGUGAAGAAGGCCUUCGGGUUGUAAAGCUCUGUUGUAAGGGAAGAACACUUAAAAGAGGGAAUGCUUUUAAGCUGACGGUACCUUACCAGAAAGCCACGGCUAACUACGUGCCAGCAGCCGCGGUAAUACGUAGGUGGCGAGCGUUAUCCGGAAUUAUUGGGCGUAAAGGGUGCGUAGGCGGUUCAUUAAGUCUGUGGUUAAAGUGCGG
rnacentral:rRNA from 1 species